ACGCGUCCUGUACGGAGCGUGCCCAACCCCAACGCUCUCUCGCUCACGCUCACAGCAAGUGGAAAAAAGUCUCGCUCGAUGAGGCGUCCUCCUCUCCAAUUCCUCGCUGCAGCUUCCACGGACGUCUCCUCCAUCACCACCAUGUCUUCUCGCCCCCCGUACCAAGGUGGUCGCUGGAGAGGCUUCUCCGACCGUCCUUACGAAGGAGGGAGAGGCCAAAGAGGGCAGUUUGUCACCGGAGACUCUCACUUCCGGUCGGUCCGCGACGCCAAUCUAGGGUUCCGUCGAGGUGAUUCCGGUAGCGUUGCCGACCAAACUGGGGGGUUCCGCCCUCCACCUCUCAACACUGGACCACCGCAUUAUGCUCAAAACGCACAGUUUCGUCAGCCUCCACGUUUUAAUAAGAGCAAGAGCAAUAAUAAUAAUAAUAAUAAUACUAAUAUUAAUCAAAGCCAACAGAAUCGGCCGAACAGGCCGUUCGAUUCGAACCCAGGGUUUCGUCUGCCUCAGCAGCUUCGGCCGAAGCCGUUGGAUUAUCGGAAUUGGGAGUAUGGGACGGAGGAGCCGCCUCCUAAUUCUGAGAGGUUUAUAGUUCUUUCGUAUAAUAUACUCGCUGACUACCUUGCUAAUGACCAUCGGAACAAGCUUUACUUUCAGAUACCCCGCCAUGUACUGGACUGGGAGUGGAGAAAGAGAAGGAUACUUAUUGAGCUUGGAUUAUGGUCGGCUGAUGUAAUGUGCUUUCAGGAGGUUGAUAGAUUUCAGGAAUUGGAAAACGAGUUGAAGCUUAGGGGAUACAGUGGCAUUUGGAAGAUGCGUACUGGCAUUCCAGUUGAUGGCUGUGCAAUCUUUUGGCGAACAUCAAGAUUCAAGUUGCUUCAUGAGGAGUGCAUUGAGUUCAAUAAGCUUGGACUUAGGGAUAAUGUUGCUCAAAUUUGUGUGCUGAAGUUAAUUAAUCAAAAUUGUGCUGAAGAGACUGCAGCCCUACCAAUAAGCUCAUCAGGUUCGUGUAAGGUUGUCAUAUGUAACAUUCAUGUCCUUUACAAUCCUAAAAGAGGAGAAAUUAAGCUUGGCCAGGCCAGGGUGCUCCUCAAUAGGGCUCAUUCUGUUUCAAAGCUCUGGGACGAUGCUCCAGUUAUUGUUUGUGGGGAUUUUAAUUGUACCCCAAAGAGUCCAUUAUACAACUUCAUCUCAGAACGGAAGCUAGAUAUAUCUGGACUUGAUAGAGAUAAGGUAUCAGGACAAGCUAGUGCAGUAAUCCCUGCACUAAGACGAUUUAAUUCAAUUUCUGGGACUGGAUCUGCUAAUAACUCGAGUUCAGAUCCAUCAUUGGUAGAUGGCAAGGAAAUUAACAGCAAGCUGAGUGCUUCUGUCUCAGACAUGCAGAAGUUGAAUAAUACAGACAGCAACAUGGAGAAUCUUCCAGCAAUGGACAAUUCUCAGCCUCAAUAUGUUAGCACUGUGCUGGAUGUAUCUGAUGAAUCUUGCACUGAUAUGCAAAGUGGAAAUGAUGGAGGCACACUACGUGAUGAGCUGAGAAAAGAAACUCAGCAGAAUGCUGUAGAUGGCUAUAAGGAGUUAUGUGUCUCCAAUCUUGGUCUUCCAGUUGAUGGAUCUAGGGGAUACUCAAGUACUUCUUACAGUGAAGGUGGGCUUCCUGCUGAUCAUAGUACGCUUAACAAGAUUCAUAAAAAUGCUCCGGUAGCUUCCCAUCCUGAAGAGGUUUACUCUGAUGCGAACCACACUAGAUACAGUGAAAACUCAAAUGCCCCGGCUCAUUCAAGAACUGGAUCAUUAGGUGGACAUGCCGAGUCCGAUGACCAUGUAGAUAAUGAAAGUGUGAACUGUGAGGAUCCUACAAUCUCCUUUCCGGGAAAUCAUGAUUCAACCAUGGCCAGGAUUGAUCCAGAGUGUGCUGACCCUUUUAACUCAGAAAUUUCAUCAUCCGAGCCAUCCUGCCAGACUUCCUUCUCCAAUGCUGGUGAAGUCUUUCCUCCAGGAAACUUAGGAAAUUUCUCACCCCAUAAAAAACCAAAUGAUGAUGUUGGUGAGAGACUGGAGAAUUUAUCUCUAAAUGAGCUUGAUAAAGCCAUGUCAGAAGUUGGAAAUGUAGGUGAAGAUGAUAGUACAUUUUUAUGUGCAUUGCACAAUAGUGGAGAUGCCUUCCCAUCUGAUUUUGGUCAAUUAAGAUCAGAUCUUGCGGUAUCAGAUCACUCCAAGGAGCUUGAAUCCAUUCCCCACAACUCACCUUCGAAUUCACUGAAUGAUGAAGUUGAGGAUGAUUUUUCUCCAGGCUUGGAUUCGGAGCCUUUUGCUAUGGAGAGAACAGCUUAUGACCCAUCAUUAUGGACUCCAAUGGAAAUAGAAACAGCAACGGGCAAUGCAGACUGCAACCUUUUAGAACAUCCUUUAAUGCUUAGCAGCACAUACACCGAAGUUAAGGAUUGUUCAGGGACUAGAGACUCAAAUGGAGAGCCCUUGGUGACCAGUUACAACACGUGUUUUAUGGGCACAGUUGAUUACAUAUGGCGUUCUGAAGCUCUCCAGACCGUCAGGGUUCUUGCUCCAAUACAAAAACAGGCUAUGCAAUGGACUCGAGGAUUCCCAACAAAGAAAUGGGGUAGUGAUCAUAUUGCCUUGGUUGCUGAAUUGGCCCUUGUGAAAGACGUGGGAAAUCAUAACACUGAAGUUAAAUAGCAGUAGAAUUGAGGUUUGCACAGAAGAAUUGCAGGACUAGUGCACCAGUUCAUUCAGUAAUUAAUUUUUACCCUGUACCAGCAAUCAUUAACUCGUGGAGAAGUUCACAGUUUUACUCCCAACAAUUUAAGACAACUCUGGAGCAGAAAGCGAUAUCUGAUGUCAUCUUUUCAAGAUCUUCAUGGAGCCCACAUCAACUUCAUUCCAAUGUAAAGUCCAUGUACCAUUGUACCCUCAGCCUUUUUUCUUUUUUCUUUUUUCUUUUCUUUUCUUUUUUCAAUUGCAUGUUUAAAUUUGAAAUACCUUACUAUAUAUAUGGCCACCUUUUCA